AGUAAAUAGAUACCCGGGUAGUCCACGCCGUAAACGAUGAGUACUAGGUGUAGGAGGUAUCGACUCCUUCUGUGCCGCAGUUAAACACAAUAAGUACUCCGCCUGGGAAGUACGGUCGCAAGAUUAAAACUCAAAGGAAUUGACGGGGGCCCGCACAAGCAGCGGAGCAUGUGGUUUAAAUUCGAAGCAACGCGAAGAACCUUACCUAGACUUGACAUCUCCUGAAUAGUGUAGAGAUACAUGAAGCCCUUCGGGGCAGGAAGACAGGUGGUGCAUGGUUGUCGUCAGCUCGUGUCGUGAGAUGUUGGGUUAAGUCCCGCAACGAGCGCAACCCUUAUUACUAGUUGCUACCAUUAAGUUGAGCACUCUAGUGAGACUGCCCGGGUUAACCGGGAGGAAGGC
rnacentral:rRNA from 1 species